GCUAGGAAGGAUGUGACUAUAACUACAAUUAUUACAACAAAAAGUUACUGGACACUACAAGUGUUUCCUCAUUUAAUCCUCACCGUACCUCUGUGAGCAAAGUUCUAUUAGCAUUAGCAUUUUACUGAUAAGGCUCAGUAAAAUGAACUUGCCUGGGAUCACGGGGCUCGUAAGAAGCAGAGCUAGGAUUGAAUCUACGUGUUUCUGACUCCAGAUCCAGGUUUCUUAAAUCCUAAAUCUAAUUGCCUCUGCACACCUAGUCCGCCUCCAUACGCGUCCCGCUUGCCUCUCAAACUGGUUUCACUGUAAACUUAGUUCAAGUCUAGUCCAAACUUGGUCCAGUCUAAUCCCCAAUCACAUUAUCACAUGUACCCUGAAAAUAUGUACAUCUGUUAUAUAUCAAAAGAAUUUUUUAAUUUCAUGAAUGUAUUUAAUGCCACUGAAUUGUACGCUUAAAAUAGUUAAAAUGGGAAGUUUCAUGUUACACACACAUAUAUACAUAUUAUUUAAAAUAGUAAAGACGCUUGUGUUUUAAGCCUCUAAAAUAGUGAUGAACACAAGGGAGGAAACAGAAGGGGAAGACAGAGGAGAGGGGUAUGGAAGGAGAAUAGGGAAGUACA
rnacentral:lncRNA from 1 species